rnacentral:rRNA from 1 species
GACGAACGCUGGCGGCGUGCCUAAUACAUGCAGGUAGAACGCUGAAGGAGGAGCUUGCUUCUCCGGAUGAGUUGCGAACGGGUGAGUAGCGCGUAGGUAACCUGCCUGGUAGCGGGGGAUAACUAUUGGAAACGAUAGCUAAUACCGCAUAACAGUAGAUGUUGCAUGACAUUUGCUUAAAAGGUGCAAUUGCAUCACUACCAGAUGGACCUGCGUUGUAUUAGCUAGUUGGUGAGGUAACGGCUCACCAAGGCGACGAUACAUAGCCGACCUGAGAGGGUGAUCGGCCACACUGGGACUGAGACACGGCCCAGACUCCUACGGGAGGCAGCAGUAGGGAAUCUUCGGCAAUGGACGGAAGUCUGACCGAGCAACGCCGCGUGAGUGAAGAAGGUUUUCGGAUCGUAAAGCUCUGUUGUAAGAGAAGAACGAGUGUGAGAGUGGAAAGUUCACACUGUGACGGUAUCUUACCAGAAAGGGACGGCUAACUACGUG